UACAGAGGGUGCGAGCGUUAAUCGGAAUUACUGGGCGUAAAGGGCGCGUAGGUGGUUAGUUAAGUUGACUGUGAAAUCCCUGGGCUUAACCUAGGAACUGCAGGCAAAACUGAUUAGCUAGAGUGCGGUAGAGGGUAGUGGAAUUUCCGGUGUAGCGGUGAAAUGCGUAGAUAUCGGAAGGAACACCAGUGGCGAAGGCGGCUACCUGGACUGACACUGACACUGAGGCGCGAGAGCGUGGGGAGCAAACAGG
rnacentral:rRNA from 1 species